rnacentral:lncRNA from 1 species
CCAAACAUGCAUAAUUUGUACUUGUCAAAAUGAAUUAAUCCCAAGUAUAUAUCUUUAUGUAACUUUGGAAUUAUAUUUCAUCUAAAUGACAAAGUCUGUCAUGCCAGAUUUUUGGUAAUAAUUAGAUUAUAGUAUUUAUACCUUAUAAUUUCUAUACUUAUUAUAGAAUCUUUAGUAUUAAAGAAUAUAAAUGUCGUUUUUAUAAUUUAC